CCACGGAAGAGCUUAAAAAGUUUCUAAGGCUUAUUCUUCCGCACAUGAAAGUAGAGCAGAUGCUUCCAAAAUUUCUCAUCCUGUAUAAAAUCCCCGAGCUUCAAGAACGCUGGAUCUCUGAAGUCGUAAACUUGACUACUUUUAAAAGAGAGGUGAUUGAAAAGUACCUUUCGGAAAAAAAGUCAAGGUAUAAAAGAUUCAGAGGAUGAUAUAGUCCGAUCCUUCCGGUAACGGAAGAAAAUUAUUUACACGGAGACCCGUGUAGUUCUCGCUGUAAACUAUGCCUGCUAGAUACCUGUCCUGCAGUGUGCACAACUAGGUUGUGCCUAUUGCAGGGUGGGUGUCGAAGCUAACGCGUUAAGCAGGCCGCCUGGGAAGUACGGCCGCAAGGCUAAAACUCAAAGGAAUUGGCGGGGUCCCGCACAAGCGGUGGAACAUGCUCUUCAAUUGGUUGAUAACCCAAGAACCUCACCCAGGCUUGACAUGCAGAUGCAAGUCCGUUGAAAGACGGAUGAUCCUUCGAGGGUUCUGCACAGGUGUUGCAUGGCUGUUGUCAGCUCGUACUGUGAAGCGUACGGUUAAGUCCGUCAACGAGCGCAACCCCUAUCGUUAGUUGUAUCACUCUAGCGAAACUGCCGCAGUAAUGCGGAGGAAGGUGGGGAUGAUUUCAAGUCGGUAUUGCCCUUAUGCCUGGGGCUAGAAGCAUGUUACAAUGGCGCGUACAGAGAGACGCAACCACGCGAGUGGAAGCAAAUCUCUUAAAGCGCGUCUCAGUUCGGAUUGGAGUCUGAAACCCGACUCCAUGAAGAUGGAAUCGCUAGUAAUCGCCGGUCAGCUACACGGCGGUGAAUACGUUCUCGGGACUUGCACACACUGCCCGUCACGUCAGGGGAGUCAGGGUCACCCGAAGUCCAGGGUUUCUUGGCCCAAGGUGAAAUUGAUGACCAAGAUGAAGUCGAAACAAGGUAGCCCUAGGGGAAUCUGGGGCUG
rnacentral:rRNA from 2 species